rnacentral:rRNA from 1 species
GAAUAUUGGACAAUGGGGGAAACCCUGAUCCAGCCAUGCCGCGUGUGUGAAGAAGGCCUUCGGGUUGUAAAGCACUUUCAGUUGGGAAGAAAAGUUGUCGGUUAAUACCCGGCAGCCCUGACAUUACCUACAGAACAAGCACCGGCAAACCCCGUGCCAGCCGCCGCGGUAAAACGGAGGGUGCGAGCGUUAAACGGAAUUACUGGGCGUAAAGCGCACGUAGGCGGUUUGUUAAGCAGGAUGUGAAAUCCCCGGGCUCAACCUGGGAACUGCAUCCUGAACUGACAGGCUAGAAUGCAGUAGAGGAUAGUGGAAUUCCUGGUGUAGCAGUGAAAUGCGUAGAUAUCAGGAGGAGCAUCGAUGGCGAAGGCAGCUAUCUGGACUGACAUUGACGCUGAGGUGCGAAAGCGUGGGGAGCAAACAGG